UGAGCCAUACUUUACGAGCUGAGUAACUGGGUCGAGCGUUCAAGCUAUUGAGCUGAGCUCGUGGUGCCGAGUAAAGUCAAGCCACUCAGCCGUGUACGAGUAUCGAGCUGAUUGGCGCCGAGUGGCGUUGAGUCGAACCGAUUAAAUAGGCUGAGUGUUUUUAUUUGAGGGGCUUUGUGAAGGGAUGUAAUACAUCUCCCACAUUAGAGUAAUCAUUGGUUGAAUUCUUAAGUUAAGUAUUUAAAUAAUAAUAAUGGUUAUUUUAUUAAAUAAUUUAAAUUUAAAUUAAAAAUAAAAAAAUACACCAAUGAAAAACAAAUACAUAAGAAAAUAAGUUCGAAAGAGGUUCUCAAAAGCUCUCAAUUAAACGAUUUAAGUGCUCUUAGGUAGGAGUGGGCACUGAUCGAUUCA
rnacentral:lncRNA from 1 species